AGUGAACGCUGGCGGUAGGCCUAACACAUGCAAGUCGAACGGCAACACAGGAGAGCUUGCUCUCUGGGUGGCGAGUGGCGGACGGGUGAGGAAUACAUCGGAAUCUACUCUGUCGUGGGGGAUAACGUAGGGAAACUUACGCUAAUACCGCAUACGACCUACGGUUGAAAGCAGGGGACAUUCGGGCCUUGCGCGAUUGAAUGAGCCGAUGUCGGAUAAGCUAGUUGGCGGGGUAAAGGCCCACCAAGGCGACGAUCCGUAGCUGGUCUGAGAGGAUGAUCAGCCACACUGGAACUGGGACACGGUCCAGACUCCUACGGGAGGCAGCAGUGGGGAAUAUUGGACAAUGGGCGCAAGCCUGAUCCAGCCAUACCGCGUGGGUGAAGAAGGCCUUCGGGUUGUAAAGCCCUUUUGUUGGGAAAGAAAUCCAGCUGGCUAAUACCCGGUUGGGAUGACGGUACCCAAAGAAUAAGCACCGGCUAACUUCGUGCCAGCCGCCGCAGUAA
rnacentral:rRNA from 1 species